rnacentral:rRNA from 1 species
AGGACGAACGCUGGCGGCGUGCCUAACACAUGCAAGUCGAACGCGCUCCAUUCGGUAGCAAUACUGAUGAAGAGUGAGUGGCGAACGGGUGAGUAACACAUGAGCAACCUGCCCCGAAGACUGGGACAACACCGGGAAACCGGUGCUAAUACCGGAUAUCCCUAUCGGACCGCAUGAUCUGAUAAGGAAAUGGAUUCCGCUUCGGGAGGGGCUCGUGGCCUAUCAGCUAGUUGGUGAGGUAACGGCUCACCAAGGCAUCGACGGGUAGCUGGUCUGAGAGGACGAUCAGCCACACUGGGACUGAGACACGGCCCAGACUCCUACGGGAGGCAACAGUGGGGAAUCUUGCACAAUGGGCGAAAGCCUGAUGCAGCAACGCCGCGUGAGGGACGAAGGCUUUCUGAGUUGUAAACCUCUUUCAGCAGGGACGAUUGUGACGGUACCUGCAGAAGAGCCCGGCAACUACGUGCCAGCAGCCGUA